GACAGCGCGCCUGCGCAGUGCAUCCAGGGGCUCGGCGGCGAUCGGUGCUGAAGUUGGGCGGAUGGCAUAAAAACAGCGGCGAUGGACAUUUCAGCACAGGAUUCCCAUUUACGAUGUCAUUAAAUAAGCAUCGGGAAAACGCUCGUUCAAAUCUACCAUCGUACCACACUGACAGCAUUUAAUAAAGCGAUGCUGUGGAAACGUUUCCCUGCUCGCUGUAUUUCUUCAUCUGCAAUGAACCCUUAGCUGUGCAAUACCAUCAUUUUACUGAAGCUUAGGAGGGUGAGAGCGGAGAGCGCUUGAAUACCCUGUCCAGGGAGGCACAAGGAGAAGAGAUAACUAUUGUUAUUUAUUUUGCCUCUCUCCCAUCCCUUUCUAAAUGUCAGUUGGUCAGAGAUGGUGAAAUUAGCAGUCCAUCUCCCAAGUACCGGCUCUCCCAUCCUCCAUUUCCAACAAGCCAAACAGUCAGUCAACAGUUAGUCAGUCAGACAGAUAGUCAGUCCACCAGCCUCGGUCAUCCUCCCACCUAUUACCUCAGCGCCAUGUCCGCUCUGUGUAACCUGUCUUCAGGAUUCUACUAAUUCUCAUGCCCCGUAGUCUGAGUGGAGUGGAGAUGAGGAAAAGGCAGGCGGGCCACAUCGAGGGCCCCCCGCAGGCCCCCGGUCAGCCCCGACCCAACACCUGCUGCCUAUGCUGGUGUGGCUGCUGCAAGUGCCUCUGGAAUGAGGACCGCAUCGAGAGGAGUGGCCGCGAGACCAAGAUGGACAGCAUCGAAGCCAGCGACGAACAGUAAGGCAACCCCCUCCGUCUCUAGAGGAAUCCUAACCCGGAAACGCGGGCCUUGGAAUUUUUUAUUUUGCGUGCCAACAUCCUCCACAAAGGUGUCCUGUCAACAGGCGGGCACCUGAUGGCGGAGGGCUUGUUGUGUGUGCACACAGUCACCGUCACACACACAAGGUCGUUGUGACCUUUUCUGUGCUUGAGUUAAUUGGCAGUGCGAGGGAACACUUCACUCCUGCUUGUUUGUUUUCGCCCUGUGCUUUCUUAGUGGUGUGUAUUUUCAGUUACCUCUUCCCUCUGUCACCGUUCGCCGCAGACCACAGAUAUGUACAAGCAGUGGUUGUGCAAACAUUGUUCCGGUUGUACGCUACUGAACCUCACAUGACCCACAGUUGACAAUGCAAAACCUCCCAUGUGACGCUUUGUGAAGAGGGUAACACCUUGGUGUACUCUCG